CGACCCCAGGUCAGGCGGGGCCACCCGCCGAGCUUAAGCAUAUCAAUAAGCGGAGGAGGAGAAACUUACGAGGAUUCCCCUAGUAACGGCGAGCGAACCGGGACCAGCCCAGCUUGAGAAUCGUGCGGCCGCGCCGCCCGAAUUGUAGUCUGGGGAAGCGUCCUCAGCGGCGGACCGGGCCCGAGUCCCCUGGAAAGGGGCGCCCGGGAGGGUGAGAGCCCCGUCCGGCCCGGACCCUGCCGCACCACGAGGCGCUGUCGGCGAGUCGGGCUGUUUGGGAAUGCAGCCCCAAUCGGGCGGUAAAUUCCGUCCAAGA
rnacentral:rRNA from 1 species